CACACACACACACACACACACACACACACACAUAUAUAUAUAUAUAUAUAUAUAUAUAUAUAUAUAUAUAUAUAUAUAUAUAUAUAUAUAUAUAUAUAUAUAUAUACACACACACACUAAGUUAUGGGGGGGCACGAAAGUUUUUUGUCCUCCGAAGGGGGGCCCGACCGAAAAAAUUUGAGAACCACUGCUUUAGCAUGUUAACAUACUGAUGCUAGCAUGAUAGCGCGAGGACUGGGUCAUUUCUUCUAGGAAAUAUAUCUGAGUUUAAGUUCUAACAUCAAAUGUAUAAAUUUUUGGUUUUUUAAACAAAGUUCACAAGCAAGCUAAUAAGAUGAACGUGCUAACUGGGAGCACAGUACCUCAAUAGCUAAUGUUAGCAAAUGCAUGCUAAUAUUGGCUAAUUUUGGAGAUUGUUAGCAUGCUCCAUGGCCAUGAUCAGAAGUCCCAUUUACAGAGUGCCAAAUUCAUUUCCAUUUCUGAAGCAUAUUGACAUACUAUUUAUUGUUAGCAUGUUAGCAUCGAGGACUGGAUACCAUAUGGAACUGACAACAAAUCAAUACAUUUUUUCUUAUACUUGAGUUUUUAAAGCAAUGAUAACAAGCAAGCUAACAUGGUAAACAUGCACUAACUGGGAGCAUGGUACCUCAUUAGCUAAUCUAAGCAUGCUAACAUUGGUUACUUUUGGAGCUUGUUAGCAUGCUCCAUGGACAUGAUCAGAAGUCCUAUUUGCAGCAUGCCAAAAUCACAUUUCCAAUUACAAUACUAAUGCUAGCAUGUUGACAUAUAAUACUGAUGCUAAAUUAAUACAUUUCUCUUAUUGUUGAUGUUUAUCAAACAGAUAAAAGUGAACAAGCAAGUUAGCAUGAUAAACAUGCGCUAACUGAGAGCCUGAUACCUCAGUAGCUAAUAUUAGUUACUACAUGCUAACACUGGCUACAUUUAGAGCUUGUUAGCAUGCUCCAAAGGCUAAUGUUAAGGGCUAACAGAUGGCGUUAACACAAAUAAACGGUUAAAAUGCAUUGCAGCAUCCAAAUUAGAGUCCAAAAUCAUAUCAUAUAUCACACUGAUACCCAAUUAACACAUUUAAAAACUCAACUUGAGGAAUACAAUUUUUUUAACAAAUUAAAGUUAUCAGUCACAUGAGUUAAAUUUGUCUUAGCACAAAAUGAUACAAGAAUCGUGUCUCAGUAAAGUAGUAAACAACAUGCUAACAUGCUAAGUGUGAGCACGGUAACUCACUAGCUAAUGCUGGCAUGCUAAUGUUCUCCAAAGACUAAUGUUACCAGCUAAAAAUUGAUAUGUUAACUCCAAAACAUUGUCAAUACUCAUGCUAACAUGCUAACUAUGGGCUGGCUAAUGCUACCAUGCUAACACAGUAGCAGCAGUGGGUUAACUUGCUAAAGCUAAACGUGACUUCUGAUGGAUUUCUACUGCAUGCAGAUGAUAAUAUAAGUCAAAGAGGUUUUUAUUAAGUUUUAUUAGACGUCAUCAGCCAGACAGUAGCAACUAAAGAGGAAAUACAGGAUAUAUCUGUGGUAAAACUAAAAAAGUGGUCAUGUUAAACCUGCAACGCUAAGAGGAGAUCAGAAAAAAAACUCAGACAGUUCUUUUAUUCUUCCACAAUGGUCUGAGUACUGAAGUGUAAUCCAUAUUCCAACAAAAACAAGAACAAAAAAGCAGGAAAAUUUGUUGAUUUGAUCAUAAUUUUUUUUUUUUUUUACAUUGAAACAUAGCAUCAAAACAAACAAAUAAUAGGUGAAAUUAGCAGAAAUACAGCAUAGAUAAAUAUCAAAAUCUGGAAUUCGAAGUUUCUGAGUCUGUAUGUUUAGCAUCAGCUAGCUUCACUGUGGUUCAUGCUAAUGGUCCGUUAGCAUUCAUGCAUAUUUGGUGGACAGAUAUCAUGAAAACGCACUUCCAGAAUAACUGUGUAGCUCUCAUUGCCAAAUCCUUCUUUAAUUGCCAAAUUUUCUUGCACUUCUUAUGCACAUAAUGGAUAAAUAUCAGAAUUUAAAAGCGUGUUAGCGUGAAUAUGCAAAAAAAACUGUAGCAAACGUCAAAUGACGUGUUAGCAUUUUGUUAUUUGUGUUGAUUUUUGUUCAUCCAUCGUUGAAAAUGAAGAAUUUGCAAAUAUAUCAUGCACCAUGUUUGCAAAAAACUACAGCACAAAUUGCACAGGAUGACAAAGUGUGAAAAUCAGUAUUAAUAGUGUUUUAAAUCUCAUUCUGACUGUUAAUGUUUUAUUCAUUCUUUGUAAUGUUUUUGCAAUAACCCAGAAGUGUUAAAGUAGCAUAAUAACGUAGGAAACUUGUGAUUUUCCUCAUCCCUGUGAAAUUAAUGCAGAAUUUAAAACUCCUUAAUAAACAUAUCAGACUUUCUUUUGUCAUUAUGUUCAGCAGCAGCGGGAGAAAGUGCCAACAGGAGUGUUUUCUACAAUAAAUACGCUAUUGCUAAACUAUCA
ensembl:lncRNA